AGAAGAUGGUAAGGGCAAACGGUGGAUGCCUUGGCACAAGAAGCCGAUGAAGGACGUGAUAAGCUGCGAUAAGCCACGGUAAGGAGCACAUAUCCUGUGACCCGUGGAUUUCCGAAUGGGUAAACCCACCAAGAGUCAUUUCUUGGUACUUCCUGCUGAAUAUAUAGGCAGGAUAGAGGUAACCGGGGGAACUGAAACAUCUAAGUACCCCGAGGAAGAGAAAUCAAACGAGAUUCCCCUAGUAGUGGCGAGCGAACGGGGAUAUAGGACAAACCGUCAGUUGCGCAAGCGCUGGCGGGGUUGUAGGACCAUUCAUUGUGGAGUUACAAAACUUCGUGGAAGCAGAAUAGCUUGGAAAAGCUGGCGAGACAGGGUAAAAGCCCCGUACGCGAAUCUGCGAAGACUCCCGAGUGGCACCUGAGUACUGCCGGACACGUGAAACCCGGUGGGAACCUGGGGGGUCCACCCUCCAAUCCUAAAUACUCUCUUGUGACCGAUAGUGAACCAGUACCGUGAGGGAAAGGUGAAAAGCACCCCUAGCGGGGAGUGAAAUAGUACCUGAAACCGUUUGCCUACAAGCAGUCGGAGCAGACUUUUGUCUGUGACGGCGUGCCUUUUGUAGAAUGAGCCAGCGAGUUACGGCAUGUGGCAAGGUUAAGCUAAAAAGCGAGCCGCAGCGAAAGCGAGUCUGAAUAGGGCGAGUGAGUCGCAUACCGUAGACGCGAAGCCAGGUGAGCUAUCCAUGAGCAGGCUGAAGCGGGGGUAAGACCCCGUGGAGGGCCGAACCCACUUAGGUUGAAAACUGAGGGGAUGACUUGUGGAUAGGAGUGAAAGGCCUAUCAAACCUGGAGAUAUCUCGUUCUCUCCGAAAUAGCUUUAGGGCUAGCCUCGGAUGUUUACCAAUGGGGGUAGAGCACUGAAUAGUUGCGGGGGCUUCACCGCCUACCAAGAUUAAUCAAACUCCGAAUACCAUUGGUCUAGAAUCCGGGAGUCAGAAUAUGUGGGCUAAGCUGUGUAUUCGAAAGGGAAACAGCCCAGACCGCCCGCUAAGGUCCCAAAAUCAAUGCUAAGUGGCAAAGGAUGUGCGUUUGCUCAGACAACCAGGAUGUUGGCUUAGAAGCAGCCAUUCAUUUAAAGAGUGCGUAAUAGCUCACUGGUCGAGUGGACAUGCGCCGACAAUAUACGGGGCUAAGCAUUGUACCGAAGCGGCGGAUCAGUACUUUGUACUGGUGGUAGGAGAGCUUUCUGUACGGGUUGAAGCAGUUGGAUAACCAACUGUGGACUGUCCAGAAGUGAGAAUGCUGGCAUGAGUAACGAGAGACAUGUAAAAAACAUGUCCGCCGUAAACCCAAGGUUUCCUGGGCAAGGCUAAUCCUCCCAGGGUUAGGCGGGAGCUAAGGCAAGGCCGGAAGGCGUAGUCGAUGCACAACAGGUAGAAAUUCCUGUCCCUCCAAAAGAGCGUUAUCACCAAUGGGGUGACGGAGAAGGGUAGCUAGGCGGGGUUCUGGACGUCCCCGUGAUGGCACGUAGGCUGAGAAGUAGUGAAAUGCGCUUCUCAUGUGGCUGAGGUGUCGGACGAAGCAAUUGAGUGAAGCUAGUAAGCCCAUACUUCCAAGAAAAACCUCUAGGGAGCUCUGAGGAGCCCGUACCGCAAACCGACACAGGUGGGUGGGUAGAGCAUACCAAGGCGAUCGGGAGAACUAUGGUUAAGGAACUCGGCAAAAUUGCCCCGUAACUUCGGGAGAAGGGGUGCCGGUUUCGGUGAAGGGAUUUACUCCCCGAGCUAAGAUCGGUCACAGUAAAUAGGUCCAAGCGACUGUUUAUCAAAAACACAGGACUCUGCUGAAGUCGUAAGACGACGUAUAGGGUCUGACGCCUGCCCGGUGCCGGAAGGUCACGAGGAGUUGUUAGCAUUAGCGAAGCAGCGAAUCUAAGCCCCGGUAAACGGCGGCCGUAACUAUAACGGUCCUAAGGUAGCGAAAUUCCUUGUCGGGU
rnacentral:rRNA from 1 species